rnacentral:rRNA from 1 species
GGAUAAUCUACCCUUAGGACUGGGAUAACCCUGGGAAACUGGGGCUAAUACCGGAUAGGCAAUUUUUCCUGCAAUGGUUUUUUGUUUAAAUGUUUUUUCGCCUAAGGAUGAGUCUGCGGCCGAUUAGGUAGUUGGUUAGGUAAUGGCUUACCAAGCCGGUGAUCGGUACGGGUUGUGAGAGCAAGAGCCCGGAGAUGGAACCUGAGACAAGGUUCCAGGCCCUACGGGGUGCAGCAGGCGCGAAACCUCCGCAAUGUGAGAAAUCGCGACGGGGGGAUCCCAAGUGCCAUUCUUAACGGGAUGGCUUUUCAUUAGUGUAAAGAGCUUUUGGAAUAAGAGCUGGGCAAGACCGGUGCCAGCCGCCGCGGUAACACCGGCAGCUCUAGUGGUAACAAUUUUUAUUGGGCCUAAAGCGUCCGUAGCCGGUUUAAUAAGUCUCUGGUGAAAUCCUGUAGCUUAACUGUGGGAAUUGCUGGAGAUACUAUUAGACUUGAGACCGGGAGAGGUUAGAGGUACUCCCAGGGUAGAGGUGAAAUUCUGUAAUCCUGGGAGGACCGCCUGUUGCGAAGGCGUCUAACUGGAACGGUUCUGACGGUGAGGGACGAAAGUUAGGGGCGCGAACCGGAUUAGAUACCCGGGUAGUCCUAACUGUAAACGAUGCGGACUUGGUGUUGGGGUGGCUUUGAGCUGCUCCAGUGCCGAAGGGAAGCUGUUAAGUCCGCCGCCUGGGAAGUACGGUCGCAAGACUGAAACUUAA